rnacentral:misc_RNA from 1 species
UAUCGUGGUGAGCAGGUGAGGCGGAGUGUUGCAGAUCUUAGGGAGGCACAAUACCGUUUACAAGGCAAAGAUUGCUAUCUGUUUAAGAUCAGUGAGGAAGUAGUUAUUGAUGCCACCAAUAAGGGGAAUAUAGCACGCAUGAUCAAUCAUUCGUGUAUGCCCAACUGCUAUGCAAGGAUAAUGAGUGUUGGUGAUGUGGAGAACCGUAUAGUUCUUAUUGCUAAAACCAGUGUCUCUGAAGGGGAUGAGCUAACGUAUGAUUACUUGUUUGAUCCAGAUGAGCAUGAUGAGUUGAAUUGAAGGUCCCUUGUCUAUGUGGAGCGCCCAACUGUAGGAAGUUCAUGAAUUAGGUUGCACAUCCUGUAUAUAUUGCUCUCCAUCAAAGCACCAGAUCCAUCUCCUUACCCAUGAGGAAACCUCAUUUUUUUGAAAGAAACCAAUUUUGAAUAGAUUUUUCAUUUCUUUUUCUUCUUUCCCUCCAUUCUGAUAAUCCUGAUAGCCAUGUAAUCUUUUU